GCCAGUGUGGCGUAGUGGUUUGAGUGUUGGACUAUGACUCUGGAGACCAGGGUUUGGUCCCCUGUUCAAUCA
rnacentral:tRNA from 1 species